rnacentral:lncRNA from 1 species
GCUAAUCACCUGGCACCGAGCUCGAAGCGGCGCCGAGUCGUUCGCACGCGGAGAGGGAGGGUAGUUAGAGGGCCAUCCUUUUCUGCCGUUAUGGAUUUAAACCCAUAAAGAGGAAACGAGAAACCAGAGGCUCAAAGCUAAGGAAGCUCGCACCUACCGGCUUAACUUCGCACGCCUCUCCAGGAGCCGGGAACCAUCGCCCUUGGGCGCUCCCCGAUGCACGCCGGGAUACGCCUGGCGCCCCUCGGUGUGCUGCAGAGCAUGCCGGGAAAGGCACCUCUCCCGAUCUCCUGGCGCUCACCUCCCGGGCGUUCCUUUCGUGUCCCCUUGAAAGCCCGGUCCUUGGGCUUGGAAUGAGACGGUUUGGGCUCAUGCCUGCUUUGGUCAGUAGAAUACAGCUGAAGUGAUGUUGUACCAGUUUUGCGUCUGGUCUUUACAAGCACUGGUAGCUUCAACUUUCUCCUUCUUGGUACUCACCCACCAUGUUGUAAGGAAACCCAAACAGCCACGUGGAAGACAGUUCUAGUUGAGCUCCCAGCCCAGAGCCUAUCCCAACUCUCCAGCCAUACCCUGACUUCCUUCAGCAAAGAGACAGCUUCUGAUUCAUGUUCGUCUCACCAUAAUCAGUCCUUGAAGGCUCACCUAUCCUCGUGGCUGCAGCCAUUUCCCUCUCUGCAGAUACUUCCAAAAGUUACACUAGAUGUUAACUGAGCACUAAGGACACUACGUGAAAGACUGGAGUACAAACAUCCAAAGGACUGAAGAAUUUGAAGAGCACUGAAUGUGGGAGAUAGGACAGAGGAAAGGAGUCAAAUGUCUCCAAGAAACGAAGCCUGUGUGCCCUGGAGAAUGAAGAAGCAUCAUCAAAUCGGGGAGACUGAAGGAGGAAUCGGUUUUCAGAGAAAAACAAUUUAUAUUGUCUUAGCUGUGUUAGGUGGCAUACUAUUACAUUCAAGUGAAGCUGUGUAAUAGACAGAGAUGACAAAUUUUAUUCAUUUAUGAAUGCCCCCCAAAAUAUAUAUAUAGUUUUUGCCCUCAUGUCUCUUAUUGGGAUGACAGACAUAAAUCAAAGAAUUCCAUAAAUAAAUAUUAAAAUACAA